CUCUGAUGGUGAAGGAAGUCUCCCAGCAGGCCAGCAGAUGGCAGUAAGAGCUUGGUGCUUCAGUAUCAUUAUACGGAGAAACAAUACCCCCAAGGUCAGCAAGACAUUUGGGAGGCUGCCAGUACGCCUGCUCAGAUGUCUCCUCUCGGCCCCCGCGUCCUCGGCCGGUCGUUCCCAGACAUAUAGUUGGCCUGACCCGGGGGACAGUUGG